UCAGUUCUGAGUACAUUCCAGCAGCUCUUUCACGGUAGAGAACUGUUCUUUCUAUUGCAACAAUAGGUUGCACACUGCUUGUGUUGCUUGCACCAAGGAAAAUAACAGAUGAAUACAUAGCUCCAACGAGAUUCAAAAGGGACAAGUUCACCUCAAAGUACUCUAUAAGUUUCUCAGAAUUUCGACCUAGAGGCCCACCAUAUAUCACUUGUCCACCAGUCUUCAUCAAAAGCAGCUAAACGCAAGAUUUGCUAAGGCUCUAGCAUCAAGACCAGUCGUUGGUUCAUCCAUAAAGAUAAUGGAAGGGUUUGCAACCAAUUCUACAGCAAUGCAUGAUGAGCUUUACUAGAAUCAAAUGGAGUUUUAAUCUCUUCAUGAAGUUCUCUACCAAUACUGUAAUUGUUGAAGUGGAUUACAAAAUCAGGCACACUAACAUAUUCAUAAGGUUGCAGAAGUGAGAUUAUCAUAGUGACAUCCGUGAUAUGAACCAUUUGCCUCAUAAACCUGACAAUUUGGAAGGUUGUGGAACUAUCCAAACCAGUUGAAAUUCCAUCCAUAAAGAGUGCUUUUGCAGGAUCUGGUUUGAUACCUGCUGCUUUUUCACGUCUUGACAAUUCUGUCAACAUAUCAUACCUUGUUCCAACUCCCAAGCAGCGUCCGGAGAAGUCCAGCGUCUCUCUCACUGUCGUUUCUCCAUGGUGAAGAUCAUGCUGACUAAUAUAAGCACAUGUUCUUUGAGGAACAAAUUCUGACAGUUCAUGACCAUUUUGUUCGUUCUCAUACCGUAUCUGAACUGCUAGCUGUCUAUGAAUGGAUGGGAUAUGUGGGUGUGUUUUAUGAAAAUGGAGUACAUGCAACAUUUCUUACAAUUUGGAAAGAUACUUGGGAGUAGCUUAUAUAUGUGCAAGGAGGGGAGCAAUGUUGGUUUGCCCUUGGCAGCAUUGUAUGGUAAUCUUCUCAAUUGUUUGAGGUGUAUUUAAUACAUUCAUUCUAUUUUGUAUUGGGUUGAAGUACAACUUAUUUUGCUUAGUAAUUGAAAUAUUUUGAUUAUGAUCAA